rnacentral:rRNA from 1 species
GGAAACUUCUGCUAAUCCCGGAUGAGCCGAAAGGUCAAACGAUUUAUCGCCUGGAGAUGAGCUCGCGUCUGAUUAGCUAGUUGGUGGGGUAAAAGCCCACCAAGGCAACGAUCAGUAGCUGGUCUAAGAGGACGAUCAGCCACACUGGGACUGAGACACGGCCCAGACUCCUACGGGAGGCAGCAGUGGGGAAUUUUCCGCAAUGGGCGAAAGCCUGACGGAGCAAGACCGCGUGGAGGAGGAAGGUUUUUGGAUCGUAAACCCCUUUUGUCAAGGAAGAAGAACUGACGGUACUUGACGAAUAAGCCUCGGCUAACUCCGUGCCAGCAGCCGCGGUAAUACGGAGGAGGCAAGCGUUAUCCGGAAUUAUUGGGCGUAAAGCGUCCGUAGGUGGCUUACCAAGUCUGCGGUCAAAGACUAGAGCUUAACUCUAGGUCGGCCGUGGAAACUGGGGAGCUAGAGUACGGUAGGGGUAGAGGGAAUUCCCAGUGUAGCGGUGAAAUGCGUAGAGAUUGGGAAGAACACCGGUGGCGAAAGCGCUCUACUGGGCCGAGACUGACACUGAGGGACGAAAGCUAGGGGAGCAAAAGGGAUUAGAUACCC